rnacentral:rRNA from 1 species
AAUAUUGGACAAUGGGGGCAACCCUGAUCCAGCCAUGCCGCGUGUGUGAAGAAGGUCUUCGGAUUGUAAAGCACUUUGAGGUGGGAGGAAGGGCUUUAGGUUAAUACCCUGAAGUUUUGACGUUACCAACAGAAUAAGCACCGGCUAACUUCGUGCCAGCAGCCGCGGUAAUACGAAGGGUGCAAGCGGUAAUCGGAAUUACUGGGCGUAAAGCGGGCGUUGGUUGUUCAGGAAGAUGGGUGUGAAAACCCCGGGGUUAAACUGGGAACUGCUUUCAUAACUGCUGAGCUAGAGUACGGUAGAGGGUAGUGGAAUUUCCUGUGUAGCGGUGAAAUGCGUAGAUAUAGGAAGGAACACCAGUGGCGAAGGCGACUACCUGGACUGAUACUGACACUGAGGUGCGAAAGCGUGGGGAGCAAAC